rnacentral:ncRNA from 1 species
CAAAAGUUUGGUCCUGACUUUAUCGUCAGCUUUAGCCCGACUUACACAUGCAAGUAUCCGCACCCCAGUGAAGAUGCCCUCACCCAUCCGUCCGAGGAAGAGGGGCCGGUAUCAGGCGCAGUUGACGCCCAAGACGCCUUGCUCAGCCACACCCCCAAGGGAAUUCAGCAGUGAUAGACAUUAAGCAAUAAGUGUAAGCUUGACUUAGUUAGGGCUAAGAGGGCCGGUAAAACUCGUGCCAGCCACCGCGGUUAUACGAGAGGCCCUAGUCGACGACCCCGGCGUAAAGAGUGGUUAUGGGGCCCCUUCCUUCUUUACUAAAGCUGAACCUCCCCCAGGCCGUUAUACGCUUCCGGAGGAUGGAACCCCCCAGACGAAAGUAGCUUUAAACCUCCAACCAGAACCCACGACAGCCAGGGCACAAACUGGGAUUAGAUACCCCACUAUGCCCGGCCUUAAACCUAGGCACCAGACUACAACAGGUGCCCGCCUGGGGACUACGGGCACUAGCCUAAAACCCAAAGGACUUGGCGGUGUUUCAGACCCCCCUAGAGGAGCCUGUUCUAGAACCGAUAACCCUCGUUUAACCUCACCACCUCUUGUCAAUGCCGCCUAUAUACCGCCGUCGCCAGCUUACCCUGUGAAGGACUCCCAGUAAGCAAGAUGGGCACUCCCCAGAACGUCAGGUCGAGGUGUAGCGGAUGGGGUGGGAAGAAAUGGGCUACAUUAUCUGGACCAGAUAACCAACGGAAGGUCCUCUGCAACGAGGUCACGAAGGUGGAUUUAGCAGUAACGGGGGAAUAGAGUGCCCCCUUGAAGCCGGCUCUGAAACGCGCACACACCGCCCGUCACUCUCCCCAACACGACCCCACUCGAGUUAAUAACGUGAUCCUAAUAAAGAGGGGAGGCAAGUCGUAACAUGGUAAGUGUACCGGAAGGUGCACUUGGAAUAAU